rnacentral:rRNA from 1 species
GACUAACGCUGGCGGCGUGCCUAAUACAUGCAAGUAGAACGCAGUUGCGAACGGGUGAGUAACGCGUAGGUAAAUGCAUCAUAGUGGGGGAUAAGUCUUCGAAACGAUAGCUAAUACCGCAUACUGUGAGAUGGACCUUAGUUGUAUUAGCUAGUUGGGUAGGUACAUGUUCACCAAGGCGACGUUGCAUAGCCGACAUGAGAGGGUGAUCGGCCACACUGGGACUGAGACACGGCCCAGACGCCUGCGGGAGGCAGCAUUAGGGAAUCUUCGGCAAUGGACGAAAGUCUGACCGAUCAACGCCGCGUGAGUGAAGAAGGUUUUCGAAUCGUAAAACUCUGUUGUUAGAGAGGCGGUAUCUAACCAGAAAGCCACGGCUAACUACGUGCCAGCCGCCGCGGUAAUAC